GAAAUGCGAUAAGUAAUGUGAAUUGCAGAAUUCAGUGAAUCAUCGAAUCUUUGAACGCACAUUGCGCUCGCCAGUAUUCUGGCGAGCAUGCCUGUUCGAGCGUCAUUUCAACCAUCAAGCUCUGCUUGCGUUGGGGAUCCGCGGCUGCCCGCGGUCCCUCAAAAACAGUGGCGGGCUCGCUAGUCACACCGAGCGUAGUAACUCUACAUCGCUAUGGUCGUGCGGCGGGUUCUUGCCGUAAAACCCCCAAUUUCUAAGGUUGACCUCGGAUCAGGUAGGAAUACCCGCUGAACAUAAGC
rnacentral:misc_RNA from 1 species